CCCGCGCGCGAGCGGCCGCCAUUCCGCAGCCAACCGCCAUUACCGUGGCAAGGCCGGCAGGACGCGCAAUGCUGCCUGUCCUGCUGAUCCUCUCAGGCCUGGGCCGGCUGACCUCCGCCGGCCAUCAUCCUGAAACAUCACUUCUACAAAUUACAGUGCCACGGAAGACUGGGGCAAACACUGAUGAUGGCAAAGUUUCUUAAAUGUAUGCAAAUAAAUCAUUCUUUGUAUUUUCUGGGUAUUUUAUUUUUUGGGCUACAUGAGAUCAGUAGUCCAGAUCAAUUCACACAUAAUCAUUUACAAAAUUAUUUGUAUUCAUAUUUACUUUGUCAAAGAGCUCCAAUAACUGAAUGAGA